rnacentral:rRNA from 1 species
GGCGGCGCGCCUAACACAUGCAAGUCGAACGAGAGAUGAGGAGCUUGCUCUUCAAAUCGAGUGGCGAACGGGUGAGUAACGCGUGAGGAACCUGCCUCAAAGAGGGGGACAACAGUUGGAAACGACUGCUAAUACCGCAUAAGCCCACGGCUCGGCAUCGAGCAGAGGGAAAAGGAGCAAUCCGCUUUGAGAUGGCCUCGCGUCCGAUUAGCUAGUUGGUGAGGUAACGGCCCACCAAGGCGACGAUCGGUAGCCGGACUGAGAGGUUGAACGGCCACAUUGGGACUGAGACACGGCCCAGACUCCUACGGGAGGCAGCAGUGGGGAAUAUUGCACAAUGGGGGAAACCCUGAUGCAGCGACGCCGCGUGGAGGAAGAAGGUCUUCGGAUUGUAAACUCCUGUUGUUGAGGAAGAUAAUGACGGUACUCAACAAGGAAGUGACGGCUAACUACGUGCCAGCAGCCGCGGUAAAACGUAGGUCACAAGCGUUGUCCGGAAUUACUGGGUGUAAAGGGAGCGCAGGCGGGAAGACAAGUUGGAAGUGAAAUCCAUGGGCUCAACCCAUGAACUGCUUUCAAAACUGUUUUUCUUGAGUAGUGCAGAGGUAGGCGGAAUUCCCGGUGUAGCGGUGGAAUGCGUAGAUAUCGGGAGGAACACCAGUGGCGAAGGCGGCCUACUGGGCACCAACUGACGCUGAGGCUCGAAAGUGUGGGUAGCAAACAGGAUUAGAUACCCUGGUAGUCCACACCGUAAACGAUGAUUACUAGGUGUUGGAGGAUUGACCCCUUCAGUGCCGCAGUUAACACAAUAAGUAAUCCACCUGGGGAGUACGACCGCAAGGUUGAAACUCAAAGGAAUUGA